UACGUAGGGUGCGAGCGUUGUCCGGAAUUAUUGGGCGUAAAGAGCUUGUAGGCGGUUUGUCGCGUCUGCUGUGAAAAUCCGGGGCUCAACCCCGGACUUGCAGUGGGUACGGGCAGACUAGAGUGUGGUGGGGGAGACUGGAAUUCCUGGUGUAGCGGUGAAAUGCGCAGAUAUCGGGAAGAACACCCGUGGCGAAGGCG
rnacentral:rRNA from 1 species